rnacentral:rRNA from 1 species
UACGAAGGGGGCUAGCGUUGCUCGGAAUCACUGGGCGUAAAGGGUGCGUAGGUGGGUUGGUAAGUCAGUGGUGAAAUCCCCGAGCUUAACUUGGGAACUGCCAUUGAUACUAUUAAUCUUGAAUACCGUGGAGGUCGGCGGAAUAUGUCAUGUAGCGGUGAAAUGCUUAGAUAUGACAUAGGACACCAAUUGCGAAGGCAGCUGGCUGCACGAGUAUUGACACUGAGGCACGAAAGCGUGGGGAUCAAACAGG